rnacentral:rRNA from 1 species
GAAACGACUCUCGGCAACGGAUAUCUCGGCUCUCGCAUCGAUGAAGAACGGAACCAUCGAGUUUUUGAACGCAAGUUGCGCCCGAGGCCUCCUGGCCGAGGGCACGCCUGCCUGGGCGUCACGCC